UACAGCGGUGGCAAGCGUUGUUCGGAAUUACUGGGCGUAAAGGGCUCGUAGGCGGCCAACUAAGUCGGACGUGAAAUCCCUCAGCUUAACUGGGGAACUGCGUCCGAUACUGGAUGGCUUGGAUUUGGGAGAGGGAUGCGGAAUUCCAGGUGUAGCGGUGAAAUGCGUAGAUAUUCGCAAGAACACCAGUGGCGAAGGCGGCUCACUGGCCCGAUACUGACGCUGAGGCACGAAAGCGUGGGGAGCAAACAGG
rnacentral:rRNA from 1 species